UACGUAGGGGGCAAGCGUUGUCCGGAAUUAUUGGGCGUAAAGAGCGUGUAGGCGGUCCGGUAAGUCAGCUGUGAAAGUCAAGGGCUCAACCCUUGAAUGCCGGUUGAUACUGUCGGGCUAGAGUCCGGAAGAGGCGAGUGGAAUUCCCGGUGGAGCGGUGAAAUGCGCAGAUAUCGGGAGGAACACCAAUGGCGAAGGCAGCACGCUGGGACGGUACUGACGCUGAGACGCGAAAGCGUGGGGAGCAAACAGG
rnacentral:rRNA from 1 species